UACGUAGGGAGCAAGCGUUGUUCGGAUUUACUGGGCGUAAAGCGCGCGUAGGCGGCUUUGCAAGUCGGGUGUGAAAUCCCCAGGCUUAACCUGGGAACUGCAUUCGAGACUGCAUUGCUAGAGUAUGGGAGAGGGAAGUGGAAUUUCAGGUGUAGCGGUGAAAUGCGUAGAUAUCUGAAGGAACAUCGGUGGCGAAAGCGACUUCCUGGACCAAUACUGACGCUCAUGUGCGAAAGCGUGGGGAGCAAACAGG
rnacentral:rRNA from 1 species